AUUGAACGCUGGCGGCAUGCCUUACACAUGCAAGUCGAACGGUAACGGGCCUUCGGGUGCCGACGAGUGGCGAACGGGUGAGUAAUGUAUCGGAACGUACCUUUCAGUGGGGGAUAACGUAGCGAAAGUUACGCUAAUACCGCAUAUUCUGUGUGCAGGAAAGCAGGGGAUCGCAAGACCUUGCGCUGAUUGAGCGGCCGAUAUCAGAUUAGCUAGUUGGUGAGGUAAAGGCUCACCAAGGCGACGAUCUGAAGCGGGACUGAGAGGAUGAUCCGCCACACGGGAGAUGAGACACGGUCCAGACUCCUACGGGAGGCAGCAGUGGGUAAUUGUGGACAAUGGGGGCAACCGUGAUCCAGCCAUGCCGCGUGGGUGAAGAAGGGCUUCGGGUUGUAAAGCUCUUUCGGCCGGGAAGAAAUCGUAUCAGCUAAUACCUGGUGCGGAUGACGGUACCGGCAUAAGAAGCACCGGCUAACUACGUGCCAGCAGCCGCGGUAAAAC
rnacentral:rRNA from 1 species